CGGACGGGUGAGUAAUGUCUGGGAAACUGCCCGAUGGAGGGGGAUAACUACUGGAAACGGUAGCUAAUACCGCAUAAUGUCUGCGGACCAAAGCGGGGGACCUCCGGGCCUCUUGCCAUCGGAUGUGCCCAGAUGGGAUUAGCUUGUAGGUAAGGUAACGGCUUACCUAGGCGACGAUCCCUAGCUGGUCUGAGAGGAUGAUCAGCCACACUGGGACUGAGACACGGCCCAG
rnacentral:rRNA from 1 species